AGUUCCAGUUUUGACAUUGGCCGAUAUUAUAUCCACUCACGCUGUCCCUUCUGAAAUCGAGUGUUCAUUUAACUGUCUCAAAGAGCAAACCUGUGUUGGAUUUAAAUACAAAUAUGAUACCAACAGUCCAUCAGUAAACUGUCUACUCAGCAGCACUACUGGAAAGAACAACUUGGCAAUAUAUGGCGAUCAAGGCUGGGUGUUUUUUAUGGACGUUAACGAA